rnacentral:rRNA from 1 species
GACGAACGCUGGCGGCAUGCCUAAUACAUGCAAGUCGAGCGAACAGAUGAAGUGCUUGCACUUCUGACGUUAGCGGCGAACGGGUGAGUAACACGUAAGGAAUCUACCUAUAAGCGGGGGAUAACAUUCGGAAACGGGUGCUAAUACCGCAUAAUAUCUUCUUCCGCAUGGAAGAAGAUUGAAAGACGGCUCUGCUGUCACUUAUAGAUGACCUUGCGGUGAAUUAGUUAGUUGGUGGGGUAACGGCCUACCAAGACGAUGAUGCAUAGCCGACCUGAGAGGGUGAUCACCACAGUGGGACUGAGACACGGCCCAAACUCCUACGGGAGGCAGCAGUAGGGAAUCUUCCGCAAUGGGCGAAAGCCUGACGGAGCAAUGCCGCGUGAGUGAAGAAGGCCUUCGGGUCGUAAAACUCUGUUAUAAGAGAAGAACAAAUUGUAGAGUAACUGCUACAGUCUUGACGGUAUCUUAUCAGAAAGCCACGGCUAACUACGUGCCAACAGCCGCCGCCG